rnacentral:rRNA from 1 species
UCCGUAGGUGGAUAAUUAAGUCAGAGGUGAAAUCCUGCAGCUCAACUGUAGAAUUGCCUUUGAUACUGGUUAUCUUGAGUCAUUAUGAAGUGGUUAGAAUGUGUAGUGUAGCGGUGAAAUGCAUAGAUAUUACACAGAAUACCGAUUGCGAAGGCAGAUCACUAAUAAUGUACUGACACUGAGGGACGAAAGCGUGGGGAGCGAACAGGAUUAGAUACCCUAGUAGUCC